UGAGUUGGUUAGACAAUCGCUGGUUUAUUGAAGCCCUUAACCGUUUGCAAGAACGACCUAGUGGGACAAGUAAACGAGAGGAAAGUCCGAGCUACACAGGGCAGAGUGCCAGAUAACGUCUGGGAGGCGUGAGCCUACGACUAGUGCAACAGAGAGCAGACCGCCAGUUUCGGCUGGUAAGGGUGAAAGGGUGCGGUAAGAGCGCACCGCGUGAGUGGUAACAUUUCACGGCACGGUAAACUCCACUCGUAGCAAGACCAAAUAGGAAUCCAACGAGUUGCCCGCUUGGGAUUCGGGUAGGUUGCUUGAGCGUAUGUGUGAAUGUACGCCUAGAGGAAUGAUUGUCCACGACAGAACUCGGCUUAUCGACCGACUCAGCCU
rnacentral:RNase_P_RNA from 1 species